rnacentral:lncRNA from 1 species
CCCAUAACUUCUAACAGCAGUAAUGUACACCCCUUCUAACAACUUAUUAUCAAUCUUCUGCCUCGCUUCUUCGAUGACGCCUUCCAUUUCAUUGAACUCCCCAUAACAACCAAGCUUUUCGACCAUACAUUUAUAGGUAGUCAAAUUAUGGUUAAACCCAUCUUCCUUUUUCACUGAAUUGAAUAUUUCUAGUGCCCUUAAUAACCAUACAUUUAUAGGUAGACAAACUAUGGUUAAACCCAUCUUCCUUUUUCACUGAAUUGAAUAUUUCUAGUGCCCUUAAUGGGUUCUUUUGACAUUUUAAUACAGCAGCCACAUGUUUAGGAAGCACAGCAGCACUCAUUCGUAUAAUAUCUGUAAAUAAAUCCAAG